rnacentral:rRNA from 1 species
UACGAAGGGGCUAGCGUUGCUCGGAAUCACUGGGCGUAAAGGGUGCGUAGGCGGGUCUUUAAGUCAGGGUGAAAUCCUGGAGCUCAACUCCAGAACUGCCUUUGAUACUGAGGAUCUUGAGUUCGGGAGAGGUGAGUGGAACUGCGAGUGUAGAGGUGAAAUUCGUAGAUAUUCGCAAGAACACCAGUGGCGAAGGCGGACUCACUGGCCCGAUACUGACGCUGAGGCACGAAAGCGUGG